rnacentral:rRNA from 1 species
GACGAACGCUGGCGGCGUGCUUAACACAUGCAAGUCGAACGGAAAGGCCCUGCUUUUGUGGGGUGCUCGAGUGGCGAACGGGUGAGUAACACGUGAGUAACCUGCCCUUGACUUUGGGAUAACCUCAGGACACUGGGGCUAAUACCGGAUAGGAGCUCCUGCUGCUUGGUGGGGGUUGGAAAGUUUCGGCGGUUGGGGAUGGACUCGCGGCUUAUCAGCUUGUUGGUGGGGUAGUGGCUUACCAAGGCUGUGACGGGUAGCCGGCCUGAGCGGGUGACCGGCAACAAUGGGACUGCGGUACGGCGCAGACUCCUACGGGAGGCAGCAGUGGGGAAUAUUGCACAAUGGGCGGAAGCCUGAUGCAGCAACGCCGCGUGCGGGAUGACGGCCUUCGGGUUGUAAACCGCUUUCGCCUGUGACGAAGCGGGAGUGACGGUAAUGGGUAAAGAAGCACCGGCUAACUACGUG